CCACCACCACUCCUUUUCUGCUAUCUGCCUCUUUCCCACCUCACACUCCCCCUUUUAUCCCCCCCCAACCCAGAGCACCUGGUUGAAGUCUCCUCCCACCCCAGGUGUGACCACUUUGCCCUCCCUGCCCACUCCCCUUUAUAAUCUGCCCCAAGAGAGGCAGAAGCCCCAAGUUUGCCCAACUGGGCAGAGGGAUCCUCAUCCCAUCGUCACUGGCUGCUUCUGCUUUAGCUGCUUCUUUUUGCUGAGCUGUGAAACUGUGAAAAGGAGAGGAGGAAACCUGCAAAGCGUUUUGAGAAGGACUGAAUGAGCAUGGAGGAAAUGUCUGAGAAUCCCUCACAAGGUCCCUUUGGAUGGAUUCCUGCCCUCUAGCAAGUUGACUGUGCCACGCAGCUUGAUGCUAUCUGCACACUUGCUGAGGGUGCAUUUGAUUCCUCUCUCCAUGUCACUGACAAAGAUGUUAAACAGCACUGGUGCUGGCACUGACCCCUAAGGGAUGUCACUUGGCACUGGUCUCUAGGUGGACAUUGUGCCCUUCAUCAGCACUCUCUGCCUGCCAGCAUCCAGCCAAUUCCUUAUCCAGCAGUGCUAUACUUGUCAAGUCUGUGUGUUUCCAGUUUGGUGACCAGGAUGUCGUGUGGAACAGAGUCAAAUCCCUUACUCAGGUCCAGGUAGGUGACAUCAGUUCCCUUCUCUUGUCCACUGUUGCUGUGACUUCAUCAUAAAAAGCCACUAAAUGAGGCAUGGUUUGCCCUUGGUGAAGUCAUUGCUGGGUACCACCAAUCAUCUCUGCUUUGUUUCCCAUUUGCCUUAGCAGACCCUUCAAGAUGAUCUGCUCCAUGGUCUUGGCAGGCACAGACAUGAGACUGACUGGUCUGUGGUUCCUGAGAAGUGUCUGGGGAAGGGCAGCAAAGCUGCUGCUGAAAGGUGUGAAGAACAAGUCUCAUCCAGUCCAAACCCUCUGCCAGAUGGGGAUCACCCAGGGUAGUUUGCACAGGAAUGCAUGCAGGUGGAUCCGGGAAGUCUACAGAGAAGGAGACUCCACAACCUCUCUGAGUAGCCUGCUCCAGGGCUCUGUCACCUUCGCUGUAAAGAAGUUUCUCCUCAUGUUGAGCUGAAACCUUCUCUGUUCCAGUUUUUAUCUAUUGCUCCUUGGCUUAUUGCUAUGCACUACUUAAAAGAGCUUGGCCCCCUCCACUUGAUACCCACCCCUCAGAUAUCUGAAGACAUUGAUCAGACCUCUUCUUAGCCUUCUCCCCUCCAGACUAAACAGCCCCAGGGCUCUCAGUCUCUCUCCAUAGGGGAGAUACUCAAGUCCCCCACUCAUCCUUGUAGCUUUCUGCUGGGCUCUCUCCAGCAGGUCUCUGUCUCUCUUGAACAGAGGAGCCCACAUUAUUCAUCAAACCAGUUAUUACCAGAGAAACAUGAUGGAAUUUUGAUUGUGAAGUGAAACUAAUUCUGUCCCUUUGAUUGGAACAAAACUGUAAGAACUGUAUGCAUAAGGGGUUUGUUUGUGUCUGUGGGUUUGAUUCUCUUUUUAAUAAAGAAAAACAGAUUUU